GUCUUUUUGAGUUAUUUUUAAAGUCUGACCUGCCCACUGAAUUUUAAAUGGCCGCAGUACUUUAACUGUGCAAAGGUAGCAUAAUCAUUAGUCUUUUAAUUGAAGGCUGGUAUGAACGGUUGGACGAGGUAUAAGCUGUUUCAUGUAAAUUUAUGAUAGAAUUUUAUAUUUUAGUUAAAAAGCUAAGAUAUAAUUAAAAGACGAGAAGACCCUAUAAAUCUUUAUAUUUUAUAUAUUUUGAAUUUUUUGGAUUUGUUUUAUUUUUAUUAUAUAAAAUAUUUUGUUGGGGUGAUAUUAAAAUUUAAUAAACUUUUAAUUAUUUUAGUUCAUUAAUUUAUGUUUUAUUGAUCCAUUAAUAGUGAUUAUAAGAUUAAGUUACUUUAGGGAUAACAGCGUAAUUUUUUUGGAGAGUUCAUAUCGAUAAAAAAGUUUGCGACCUCGAUGUUGGAUUAAGAUAUAAUUUUAGGUGUAGCUGCUUAAAUGUUAAGUCUGUUCGACUUUUAAAUUCUU
rnacentral:rRNA from 1 species